UGGSUGCGUCGGGGCAGGGCGCUGGGUGUGCGUGCAGUGCCGCGAGCGUGCAGUGUGCGCCCGCGAGCGCAGCGCGUGGAUGCGUCCCGCGGGCGCACUGCGGGCACUGGGAGCGCAGUGCGUGUGCAGUGCGCGUGUGCAGUGCUGCGUGCGUCCUUGCAGUGCCCCAGGCUCUGUGCAGUGCACGGCGGCCCCGGGCAGUGCGUAUGCAGUGCGUGCAGUGCGGGUGCAGUGCACGGGCGCCCCACGGGUGUGCGCGGUGCCCAGGGUGGGUGCAGUGCAGGGUGGGGCAUGCACGUGGGUGCCAGGCAUGGGUGCCAUGCGGGUGCAGUGCAUGUGCAGUGCGUGCGCAGUGUGCGGGCGCCCUGCAGGUGUGCAGGGGGCGGGUGCAGUGCAUGGCAGGGCAUGCACGUGGGUGCUGUGUGGGUGCAGUGCACGGGCACCCCACGGGUGUGUAGGGGAUGGGUGCAGUGCAUGUGCAGUGCGAGUGCAGUGCGCGGGUGCCCCACGAGUGUGCAGGGAGUGGGUGCAAUGCGCGCGCAGUGUGUAGGUGCCCCACAGGCAUGCAGUGUGCGGGUGCAGUGUGGGUGCAGUGUACAGGCACCCCGUGGGUGUGCAGGGGAUGGGUGCAGUGCGUGUGCAGUGCGCAGGCGCCCCGUGGGUGUGCAGGGGAUGGGUGCAGUGUGGGUGCAGUGCACGGGUGACCCACGGCUGUGCAGGGGAUGGGUGCAGUGCGGGUGCAGUGCACAGGUGCCCCACGGGUGUGCAGGGGGUGGGUGCAGUGCGCGCGGAGUACGUGGGUGCCCCGUGGGGGUGCAGGGGGCGGGUGCAGUGUGGGUGCAGUGUGGGGGCACCCUGUGGGUGUGCAGUGUGCGGGUGCAGUGUGGGUGCCGUGCACGGGCACCCCACAGACGUGCAGGGGAUGGGUGCAGUGCGGGGGCACCCCACGGGCGUGCAGUGCGCGGGUGCAGUGUGGGUGCAGUGCGUGGGUGCCCCACGGGUGUGCAGUGCGGGGGUG
rnacentral:lncRNA from 1 species